rnacentral:rRNA from 1 species
UACGUAGGGUGCGAGCGUUGCCCGGAUUUAUUGGGCGUAAAGGGCGCGCAGGCGGCUACGCACGUCCGUUGUGAAAUCGCUCGGCUCAACUGGGCGGGGUCAGCGGAUACGGCGUAGCUGGAGCAAGCUAGGGGGCAAUGGAAUUCCCGGUGUAGUGGUGAAAUGCGUAGAGAUCGGGAGGAACACCUGUGGCGAAGGCGGCCGACUGGGCCGACCCUGACGCUGAGGCGCGAAGGCGUGGGGAGCGAACGGG